UGGGGGAAUUUUGGGACAAUGGGGGGAAACCCCUGAUCCAGCCAUCCCGCGUGUGCGAUGAAGGCCUUCGGGUUGUAAAGCACUUUUGGCAGGAAAGAAACGUCGCGGGUUAAUACCCCGCGAAACUGACGGUACCUGCAGAAUAAGCACCGGCUAACUACGUGCCAGCAGUCGCGGUAAUACGUAGGGUGCAAGCGUUAAUCGGAAUUACUGGGCGUAAAGCGUGCGCAGGCGGUUCGGAAAGAAAGAUGUGAAAUCCCAGAGCUUAACUUUGGAACUGCAUUUUUAACUACCGGGCUAGAGUGUGUCAGAGGGAGGUGGAAUUCCGCGUGUAGCAGUGAAAUGCGUAGAUAUGCGGAGGAACACCGAUGGCGAAGGCAGCCUCCUGGGAUAACACUGACGCUCAUGCACGAAAGCGUGGGGGAGCAAACAGGAUUAGAUACCCUGGUAGUCCACGCCCUAAACGAUGUCAACUAGCUGUUGGGGCCUUCGGGCCUUGGUAGCGCAGCUAACGCGUGAAGUUGACCGCCUGGGGAGUACGGUC
rnacentral:rRNA from 1 species